rnacentral:rRNA from 1 species
UACGGAGGAUCCGAGCGUUAUCCGGAUUUAUUGGGUUUAAAGGGUGCGCAGGCGGGGGAUUAAGUCGGCGGUGAAAUUUUGCAGCUCAACUGUAAAAGUGCCUUCGAAACUGGUUUCCUUGAGUAUAGAUGAAGUAGGCGGAAUUUGUGGUGUAGCGGUAAAAUGCAUAGAUAUCACGAGGAACUCCGAUUGCGCAGGCAGCUUACUAAACUACUACUGACGCUCAGGCACGAAGGCGUGGGGAUCAAACAGGAUUAGAUACCCGGGUAGUCCCUGA